UACGUAGGGUGCAAGCGUUAAUCGGAAUUACUGGGCGUAAAGCGUGCGCAGGCGGUUUUGUAAGUCAGAUGUGAAAUCCCCGGGCUUAACCUGGGAACUGCGUUUGAAACUACAAGGCUAGAGUGUGGCAGAGGGGGGUGGAAUUCCACGUGUAGCAGUGAAAUGCGUAGAGAUGUGGAGGAACACCGAUGGCGAAGGCAGCCCCCUGGGCCAAUACGUGACGCUCAUGCACGAAAGCGUGGGGAGCAAACAGG
rnacentral:rRNA from 1 species